UAUUUUUUUUCUUUCCCGUUGUACUUUCUUUACAGCGAUGUGGUUUUUGAGAGACCUGCGUGAAAGAAAUUCAGAAGUCAUUAUUUAUUUUGUGCGAGGCUAUUCUCGAACUCACACCUCACCUGCCUCCUGAGUGUGGAGAACACCAGCGUGAGCCGCGCGGCACAGCUCCGGCUUCCUGAUUCUUCCAUCACUUCAGCUGUCGGUGCUGGACAGAAGGCUGCUCAGGAGGAGUCGGGAUUGGAGCCAGGAGGCCAUGGUCACUACCCUUGGUAUUCUAAAAACCCAACCAAGGACAUGGAGAGAGGUGAAGAGUGCUUUACAGCUCUUGCAGAGGACCCAAGUUGGAUUCCCAGCAC